rnacentral:lncRNA from 1 species
GCCACAACUACGUGCUGCUAAAGGAAUCUAUCUGAUUUGUUGAAGUUUGAGAAGGAAACUACUGCUGUCUUCACUUUGACACAAUUCAGUUCACCUGUGACAUGGAGAAAUGGGGGACAAAGGACAGAAAGGCAGCAUGGGACGGCAUGGAAAAAUUGGUCCUAUUGGUUCAAAAGGUGAAAAAGGAGACAUAGGUGACAUAGGACCACCAGGUCCUAAUGGUGACCCAGGUAAGCCAUGUAAUACCUUGUGUAUGUGAAGGAUUUCACAAGAUGCAUGUAUCAUCACCAAAAACACACGCCUGUUUGCAUACUGGGGGAGUGUCCUGGGUUCAGCAGUAGCAGUCAUUUUUCUCCUUCUCGGUAGCUGGUGCAGCGCUGUGUUUUUGAUUUGGGGCCUGGGAACAGUGCUGAUAACACCAGUGUUUUCAGUUACUGCCUGGUGAUAUUUAGGCUGGCCAAGGACUUUGUGAGUCUCAUGCUCUGCCAGGGAGGAGGGGAAGCCGGGAGGAAGGAGAGACGGGACACCUGACCCAGACUGACUAAAGAGGUUAUUCCAUACCACAGCACGUCAUGUUCA